GUUCUCUGAGAAUUGCACCUGGAGAGUUUCCAGUCCUCUACCAGUCUUGGCUACAGGAGGGAGAGUCAAGCAGAGACCUGUCCAUUCUAUUCCUAGCUUGGCCAGUGGCUGGGGAUUGGAAGGCAAUCUGCUAGAAGC